rnacentral:misc_RNA from 1 species
AUAAUUAAAAUAAAAAGAAUAAGAGAGUUUAAAUGACGGAAUAGGGAAAAGAAAAAGUAUGAUUAAAAUCUCUAGAAGUAUUCCUUAUUGCGUCAUUGUAACAAUGAAGUACUUUCUACGUAAUGAGUAAUGUCGGAUAUUGAACAGAUAAAAUAUUCCUAAUGAAAUGAUACAAAAGGUUAAUAAAGUGAUUGAUUUUAUCGGACGACGAUCUCUUCCGUUCAAAUUUGUAGUCGCGCGCGCACAUAAAAUCCAACAUACAUGACGCGUCAGAUCAUCCGAUUUUACGUCAUCGUUAUUCCUUCUCCAACAGUAAAAGAGCAAGUGAGAGAAAAGAUAGAAAAAAACUAAGAGCGCGGUGUGUUACCGAUGCACGCAUCGACAGUCGAAUGAAGUACGCGAAAGAAGCUUCUUAUACGCGUUUGUCAUUUAUUCUAUUAAUUUAGUUAACGCCGAAUUAAAUCUAAAGAUAGUUAUCUCAUUGAUAACAAAUUUGUCAUCGAUCAAGCAUUAAAUUCCGCCUUGAUUUGCCGAAAAGUGUAGCCCAUCACAUACGCACAUUAAAAACCCAUAAGAUCCUAAAUAGUGAUAUUUUUACAAGUAGUGAUAUUCGUCGCCAGAGUUCGUUGCUGAGUUCGCGGCAAUUUUUGGAAGCACAAAGGACACUUUAUGGGUUUAAAGUUGUUAUUAUAAAAUCAUGUCAAGGAAGCGUUGUAGAGAGGAAACUAUGUUGAACUCUGAAUCGUAUACAAAUAAUCAUAAUGGAGAAAGCACAUCCUCUAGAGAAGAUUCUCCCAUCAAUCCUUCAAUUUGUAAAGAGGCUCCAUUCAGUGAUGAUCCAGAAGCCAUUACUGAAAGAGAUGCAUGUGAUUACAAUACUCAAAUCACAUUGAGGAUGGCACGUAGUGGGAAAGCACCUAGAAGAGUUAGAGUAUAUGCUGAUGGUAUAUAUGAUCUUUUUCAUCAAGGACAUGCUCGACAAUUACUACAAGCUAAAAAUAUAUUCCCAAAUGUUUAUCUCAUUGUUGGAGUUUGCAAUGAUGAAUUAACACAUAGCAAAAAAGGAAGAACUGUGAUGACAGAUGCUGAAAGGUAUGAUGCAGUAAGACAUUGUCGCUAUGUGGAUGAAGUUGUAAAAGAUGCUCCAUGGGAAUUAGAUGAUAAUUUCAUCAAGAAACAUAAAAUCGAUUUUGUAGCUCACGAUGACAUACCUUAUAUGACAGAUGAUGGUUCAGAUGUUUAUGCAGCAUUAAAAGCUAAAGGUAUGUUUGUAGCUACACAAAGGACAGAAGGGGUAUCUACAUCAGAUAUUGUAGCAAGAAUUGUUAAGGAUUAUGAUAUUUAUGUAAGAAGAAAUUUAGCACGAGGUUACAGUGCCAAAGAACUCAAUGUUUCUUUCCUUAACGAAAAGAAAUUUCGGUUACAAAAUAAAUUUGAUGAUCUUAAAGAUAAGGGUAAACGAGUUAUGGAAAAUAUAGGUGAAAAACGUAUGGACAUGAUUAGUAAAUGGGAGGAAAAAUCACGAGACUUCAUUGAUGCAUUUCUUUUAUUAUUCGGAAGGGAAGGAAGAUUGAUGAAUAAUGAUUUUGAAAAGUUACACCUUUGAAGAUCUCUUAUUUCAAUUUCAUUGCAUACCAUUGUGAAUGUGAAAAUAAAAUAAAAUAUUUCAGACAAAAUUUGUCAACAAUUUGGAAUGAAAGUAAAGGACGUUUAAUGCAAGCACUUUCACCUCCAGCAAGUCCAAAAAGAGAUGGCAGUCCAAAUGGUAG